AUGGACAUGGACAUGGACAUGGAGGGGGGCUCGCAGUCGCAGCCGCAGGGCGCCUCGCUCUCGCCGGCGCCGUUCCUGAUCAAGACCUACGAGAUGGUGGAGGACCCGGCGACCAGCCGCGUGGUGUCGUGGGGCCCCGGCGGCGCCAGCUUCGUGGUGUGGAACCCGCCCGACUUCUCCCGGGACCUGCUGCCCAAGUACUUCAAGCACAACAACUUCUCUAGCUUCAUCCGGCAGCUCAACACCUACGGUUUCCGGAAGAUCGACCCGGAGCGAUGGGAGUUCGCGAACGACGACUUCAUCAGGGGGCACAUGCACCUCCUGAAGAACAUCCACCGGCGCAAGCCGGUGCACAGCCACUCGCCGCAGAACCAGGUGAACGGGCCGCUGGCGGAGUCGGAGAGGCGCGAGUACGAGGAGGAGAUCAGCAGGCUCAAGCACGAGAACAGCGUGCUCGUGGCAGAGCUCCAGAGGCAGGCGCAGCAGCAGUGCGGUCUCAGCUGGCUGAUGCAGUCGCUGGAGGAGCGGCUGCUGGCGAUGGAGCAGCGGCAGGCGGACGUCGUGGCCUCCGUGCGUGACAUCCAGCAGAGGAGACGGGGCGACGUUCAUCCAGGGCAGCAGACCAUGCUGGAACUGGAGCCGACAGACCAUUUCAGCAAGAAGAGGAGGGUCCCGACGAUCGGUUUCUUCGCCGAGGAGCCCGCCGCGGCGGCCGAGGAGCAUCUGCGGGCGACUGGUGGUGAGACGCCGGGCAUGGUCAUGGUGAACGCCGAGCCUUUUGAGAAGAUGGAGCUGGCCCUGGUCUCCAUGGAGAAGCUCGUCCAGAGGGCGGGCAACUAUGCGCCCUCUGAAGACAUGUUCAGCGCUGCUACUGCUUCUGCUUCUGCUGCACCCAGCACUGAUGAUCCGGCUCAUGCAGGUCUGCAGGAAGCACCAGUGGAGACCGGAGUAGAUCUUCAGCCAACUUCACCGGAGCUAGCAGAGCCUCCGGGUUAUGCUGUCCAGAGUCCAAUGCUACUAUUCCCAGAAAUUCAAGAAGACAAGCGCAAUACAACGGCCGAAGUCGACAUGAGCUCCGAGGCCAGCACCACAGGCACUUCGCAGGACGAGACGAACGCCGAGGCCGAGACUCCACAUGAACAGGCCGUGGCGAACGAUCUGUUCUGGGAGCGGUUUCUGACAGACACGCCGAAGCCGCUAGCCGUCGAGGAUAGCCAUGAAUCCAAGGACGGUGUGAAGAUGGGCCUAGACUGCUACUGGUUCGGUCACCGUAACAAUGUCGACCAGAUCACCGAGCAGAUGGGGCACCUCGCUUCUGCACAGAAGACCUGA
rnacentral:rRNA from 1 species